UACGUAGGUGGCGAGCGUUGUCCGGAUUUACUGGGCGUAAAGAGCGCGCAGGCGGCUGGUCAAGUCCGAUGUGAAAGCUCCCGGCUUAACUGGGAAAUUGCAUCGGAAACUGAUCGGCUGGAAGGUGGGAGAGGGUAGCGGAAUUCCCGGUGUAGUGGUGAAAUGCGUAGAUAUCGGGAGGAACACCAGUGGCGAAGGCGGCCUCCUGGCCUGUUCUUGACGCUGAGGCGCGAAAGCUAGGGGAGCAAACGGG
rnacentral:rRNA from 1 species